GUCCACGUGCCUGCACAAGACGCGUGUUCCAUUUGAACCAGCAAAAUGGAGAAAACCGAAACCGGCAUGUAGCUAGCGUACGAACGGGGAAGAAUAUUUCAACUUCCACGAAGCGACACUUGGCAAUGGGCACGAUCCGCCCGCGUAUGGGAGCGCGAUCCGGGGAACGGUGGGCCCAUCUCGCUGCGAGUCAAUGAUGGUUUAUCACUACGCUACGGACAGCACCGAUG
rnacentral:lncRNA from 1 species